GUUCGAAUAGCUCAGUAGGUAGAGCAAAGGACUGAAAAUCCUUGUGUCGGCAGUUCGAGUCUGCCUUCGAACA
rnacentral:tRNA from 3 species